ensembl:lncRNA
AUAUUGGGCCCACCUGGAUAAUUUGGCUAGUCUCCCCAUUUCUAGAUCCUUAAAUUAACCACAUCUGCAAAGUUCUUUUUGCCAAGUAAGGUAACAUAUUCACAGCUUCAAGGAACUAGGAUGCGGACAUCUUUGUCGGCCCAUUUCUCUCUCUACCACCGUUCCAUUAGAGCAGAUAAGGAGAAAACAGUGACUGAAGCCUUCCUGAUAUUUUGACUUCCCCUAUGGAUUGGAGAUUGGCUUCCUGGCACCUGCUGGACAGGCUUGACAUUUAAAACAGUUUCAUUUUUUUAGAAUAAAUUUCUAAAAGUGGAAUUCUUGCAUCAAAAGAUGUGAUUGUUUUCAAAACUCUGGAAACAUUUUGACAAAUUACCCUCCAAUCCAUGAGCUUCUCUCUGGAACCCAAAGUACAGCCAAUCCUCUGUUCAUCUGAAAAUAAUCCAUCUCCUUAGCUCUAAGACCUUGAGCUCAAAGAGAAUACAUUAUUUGAGAAAAAAAAAAAAUGAAACAAAGAAGAGAAAUUAAAUCUCUCCCUGCCCUUCAUGGCUUCUAACUUCAGCUUCCAGUUUUUUUCCCAAAAUAACUUCAACAUCUAGCAAAUUGACAGGAGUUCUCAGUAGCUGAGGCAAUGGUGGCUAUUAAUUGAGGUAAUUCAACUUCUCGCUUAAAACACAAUAAGAGGGGCCGGGCCAGUGGCACAGCGGUUAAGUGCGCACCUUCCCCUUCGGUGGCCUGGGGUUCGCUGGUUCGGAUCCCGGGUGCGGACAUGGCACCGCUUGGCACGCCAUGCUGUGGCAGGCAUCCCACGUAUAAAGUAGAGGAUGAUGGGCAAGGAUGUUAGCUCAGGGCCAGCCUUCCUCAGCAAAAAGAGGAGGAUUGGCAGCAGUUAACUCAGGGCUAAUCUUCCUCAAAAAAAAAAAAAAAAAAAAACCACUAAGAAAAAACAGAACAAAGACAAUUAGGGAAAUUGGAUCUAAAAUUAAUCCCAAAUCCUCAUCAGAAAUGAAAGAUCAUUUAAUAGGUGAAAAUAGAGCUUGCAGGGAUAAGAUUUCUGAGGGCACGUUACAUGUAAAGCUAUGGCCCUGGGGGUGGGGGUGCAAAGAGAACAGAAAGGGAAGGGCCUCCUUUGGAAGAAUCGUGAUGAAAGGAAAAAGAAUAAGUGGGAAAAGUCAGGAUAAUUCAGGGCAAAAGAUAUUUAAAAAAAAUCAAAAGGCACACAACCUGUCUCCCAUUUCUUCACUCCUCCUUAAGAAAAAUCUAGUGAAAACCUUAUUUUGUAACAGAGACAGAAGUCGGUGAUUUUGAACCAAGAUUCUUAGGAAACACAAAUCGCCAGUCCUGCCCACAAAGACGCAGCAAAUCAAACAGUCCUCUUCUUUGAAAACCGUGACAAACUUUAAAUAAAAAUGUGACACUAUACAAUUCAGCUGGCAAAAGUUUUCCCCGAAGAAACAAAACGGUGGUGAGGCAGAAGAAAACUGCAACAUGACACUUGAAAUUUAAUUAACUAUCUUAAACCAAACAUUUGUGGACAUGAAACAUUGUCUUGAAUCAGAAGUUCAAAAUAUAAAACAUUAUGUCAAAAAAAGCGAGAAGAAAUAAAGCAAUUGAUUGAACCAAGGAAAGAAAUGAAAGGACUGAUAAAAUCUGGUUAUACAAGCUGACCAGGGAAGAAUAAAUUUGAAGAAAACAUAAAAUAUAAUACAGAGAGAUAGAUGUGUAGGCAGGUGAAAGAAAGAGAGAAGGCAGAAAGGAAGGAAGGAAGGGAGAGAGGGAAAGAGAGAGAAAGAAACUAAUAAAACAAAUGGAUAAAAUGUUAACAACAGGUGCAUCUUGGUAAAGGGUACAUGGUGUUAUCUGUACUAUUUUUGUUUUUGCAACCUUUUUAAAAUUUGAAAUUAUUACCAAGUACAAAAUUUAAUACGCAUAUCACAUUGGAGAGUUAUAAGAAAGACGUAAGACACUGCCCUUUAGAACUCGUAAUCAAGGGGGUUAGAGCCACGGAAAAUUUUAACUAUAACACUUUCAAUCCUUGAAUAUCAUUCUUUACCCAGUCACAAGUUCUCUUCUGUUAACAAUUAAUAUUCUUUCACAUAGUUUUAAAAUAGUGAUCUUUCAGUAAACGUACUCCUUCAAGAAUAUAGCCAUUGAUACUUUUACUUUAAAAAUCCCUAUUCUCAGAGCCGGCCCCAUGGCUGAGUGGUUAAUUUCAAGUGCUCAGCUUCUUCAGCCCAGGGUUUAGCCGAUUGGGAUCCUGGGCACAGACGUGGCACCACUCGUCAGGCCAUGCUGAGGUGGCAUCACUCAUGGCACAACCAGAAGGACCUGGAGUUAGAAUAUACAACUAUGUACUGGGG